UGACAUGAGUGUGUUUUCCUCUCAGAAUGAGGGACUGGGGUCCUUUAUAAUGAACUCUGGACUCAUCCACGCCUCCAGUUUCAUCAACCACCACUAUAUCCUAAAGAUCAGAAAGACUUCAUAUACAGCUUGAGAUAUGGUCAGACUCACGUCAGCGCUCCAGUGCUGGUGACUGGUCGGGUCUGGACGCUCACUCAGCUCAAAGGAGGACGAGUCGUUGGUAAAAUCUCUUCUGCAGCACGAGAGAGCGUCUUGUCCAGACGGCAUUGCCAGCAGAUCUACAGGAACAAGAUCACAAGCAUGAACACCUCCACCAGUAAUUGAGGAAACCCCUACUUUCAUGCAUUUCCUGGGAAUCAAACUCGCGAUGCUGGUGUUCCAAGCACCAUGAUUUACCGUAUGAGCUACAGGAAUACUAUCCCGAUCUGAAAACCUGCUCAUCUGCUCAUGUGUCUUACAUCAAAGAAGAUCAGAC